GACGUAGGGCGCGAGCGUGUCCGGAUUUAUUGGGCGUAAAGAGCUCGUAGGCGGCUUGUCGCGUCGUCCGUGAAAACCUGGGGCUCAACCCCAGGCUUGCGGUCGAUACGGGCAGGCUAGAGGUAGGUAGGGGAGAAUGGAAUUCCCGGUGUAGCGGUGAAAUGCGCAGAUAUCGGGAGGAACACCGGUGGCGAAGGCGGUUCUCUGGGCCUUACCUGACGCUGAGGAGCGAAAGCGUGGGGAGCGAACAGG
rnacentral:rRNA from 1 species